GACGAACGCUGGCGGCGUGCUUAACACAUGCAAGUCGAACGGAAAGGCCCUGCUUUUGUGGGGUGCUCGAGUGGCGAACGGGUGAGUAACACGUGAGUAACCUGCCCUUGACUCUGGGAUAACUUCAGGAAACUGGGGCUAAUACCGGAUAGGAGCUCCUGCUGCAUGGUGGGGGUUGGAAAGUUUCGGCGGUUGGGGAUGGACUCGCGGCUUAUCAGCUUGUUGGUGGGGUAGUGGCUUACCAAGGCUUUGACGGGUAGCCGGCCUGAGAGGGUGACCGGCCACAUUGGGACUGAGAUACGGCCCAGACUCCUACGGGAGGCAGCAGUGGGGAAUAUUGCACAAUGGGCGGAAGCCUGAUGCAGCAACGCCGCGUGCGGGAUGACGGCCUUCGGGUUGUAAACCGCUUUCGCCUGUGACGAAGCGUGAGUGACGGUAAUGGGUAAAGAAGCACCGGCUAACUACGUGCCAGCAGCCGCGGUGAUACGUAGGGUGCGAGCGUUGUCCGGAUUUAUUGGGCGUAAAGGGCUCGUAGGUGGUUGAUCGCGUCGGAAGUGUAAUCUUGGGGCUUAACCCUGAGCGUGCUUUCGAUACGGGUUGACUUGAGGAAGGUAGGGGAGAAUGGAAUUCCUGGUGGAGCGGUGGAAUGCGCAGAUAUCAGGAGGAACACCAGUGGCGAAGGCGGUUCUCUGGGCCUUUCCUGACGCUGAGGAGCGAAAGCGUGGGGAGCGAACAGGCUUAGAUACCCUGGUAGUCCACGCUGUAAACGGUGGGUACUAGGUGUGGGGUCCAUUCCACGGGUUCCGUGCCGUAGCUAACGCUUUAAGUACCCCGCCUGGGGAGUACGGCCGCAAGGCUAAAACUCAAAGGAAUUGACGGGGCCCCGCACAAGCGGCGGAGCAUGCGGAUUAAUUCGAUGCAACGCGUAGAACCUUACCUGGGUUUGACAUGGAUCGGGAGUGCUCAGAGAUGGGUGUGCCUCUUUUGGGGUCGGUUCACAGGUGGUGCAUGGCUGUCGUCAGCUCGUGUCGUGAGAUGUUGGGUUAAGUCCCGCAACGAGCGCAACCCUUGUUCACUGUUGCCAGCACGUUAUGGUGGGGACUCAGUGGAGACCGCCGGGGUCAACUCGGAGGAAGAUGGGGGUGACGUCAAGUCAUCAUGCCCCUUAUGUCCAGGGCUUCACGCAUGCUACAAUGGCUGGUACAGAGAGUGGCGAGCCUGUGAGGGUGAGCGAAUCUCGGAAAGCCGGUCUCAGUUCGGAUUGGGGUCUGCAACUCGACCUCAUGAAGUCGGAGUCGCUAGUAAUCGCAGAUCAGCAACGCUGCGGUGAAUACGUUCCCGGGGCU
rnacentral:rRNA from 1 species